rnacentral:lncRNA from 1 species
AGUAGUGCCCUGAGACUCCCGAGGCUCUGCAUCGGCGCAGCCGGUGUCAUCUAGCGGCCGGCAGUUCCGAGCGACUUGGGGUCCUUGUGCCUCGGAGUGGCGUCUGGGAGCAAAGGCGGCGGAGGCAACCCCGCAGUUGAGGACAGUAGGGAUCGGUGGCUUUGGACCCUGCCCACGGAUACCUGGGGCCCCAUGCCCCGAAGGAAUGGUGCCUUCUGCCCUCCCCCGCCCCCCAACAUCCGCCACCUCACCGAAGCGCCCGGCACCUUAGCCUCCUCUCCAGGAAAGCGGACGCCUUUUCCGACCUGGCACACCGCGGAUUCCGGGACCCCCAACAAAGGCGCCUUGGACCUUCAGGACACCCCUCUUUUCAGAACUUCAUGAGUCCCAGGUGCUAGACUCAUGUCUGCGGAGGCCUUUCCCGUGCCUGGUCUUUCUUUCUUUCUUAAAGGAGUUGGACCUCUAAAGGCCCUUCUAAUUCUCAAGGUAGCUACCCAGGUUAUGGUACUACUAUCAGUAGGUGGAGCGUUUAGAAGGGUAGUUUGGUCGACGAGUGAACUUUGGAAUUUACUUCUACGUCAGUCUUCACUGAUUCUUUCUCUAAACUAUUAGCACUGAUAAUCUGCCCUAUAAUUUCACACUUAAUUACAUUCCAGUGUAGUAUUUGCUGUUGCUUCAUUCGCGUUAGUCACAUAUUCCCCUGCAGCGCCAAACACGCUUUUGAACUCACAAUGGGUGGCUCAAUAUUUGGAGACUUAGAUAUUUGUUAGAUGAAUACUAGGCUGAUUGGAUGAGAGGAAAAGGAGAGGCAUGAGUGAAUUGGCCCUGGGUACUUUUUUGACAUAGUCUCAAAGGGUUCAGAUAAAGACCUCCAGCAGAUCUGAGCACACAAUUCCUUCAGUAAACAUUGAACACCUGCCGUUUGGUCAAGCAUUUCUAGGCACUGGAGAUUCAAAGUAUUCACAUAUUCCUUUUCUUUAUAAGACUAGCAAGAUUCUGAAGAUUCAUGUACUCAUUCACUCAACAAAUAUUUGCCAAUCACUACUAAGGUUGCCAGACACUAUUUUAGUGCUUGGGAUGUAUCAGUAAACAGAAGAGAGAGAGAAAACAAAUACCCUUCCCUGUUGGAGCUUUCAUUCUAAUAUAAGGAGAAAGAUGAUAAAUGUAAGAGAAUUAUGUAAUAUGUUAGAAGGCAUAUGGGGAAAAAAAAAUACACCAGGGUAAGGGGUAUGAGGAAAACUGGAGGAAGGGGGUUUGCAAUUUUUUUUUAAGAGGGAAUCCUGCUCUCCCGCCCAGGCUGGAGUGCAGUGGCGCGAUCUCAGCUCACUGCAACUCCCGGGUUCAAGUGAUUCUCCUGCCUCAGCCUCCUAAGUAGCUGGGAUUACAGGCGCGCGCUACCACACCCGGCUAAUUUUUGUAUUUUUAGUAGAGAUGGGGUUUCACCAUGUUGGCCAGGCUGGUCUCAAACUCCCGAACUCAAAAGUGAUCCGCGCUCUUCGGCCUCCCAAAGUGCUGGCAUUACAGGCCUGAGCCACCGCGCCUGGCCUGCAAUUUUAAAUAGAGCCGUCAGCAUGGGCCUCAUUUAUAAAAUGACUUUAAAUCGGAGACCUGAAAGAGCUGAGGGAGUCAGCCAUGCAGUUGUCUGGGGAAGAGUGUCCCAGGCAGAAGGAACAGCUAGCUGGUGGAAAGGCCUGGAGACAAAAGCCUCGGGAAGUGUUAAAAAUAAUGAGAAGGCCAGGACGGUUGGAGCCGUGAGCAAAUGGGAGCCUAAUGAGGAGAUAAGAUCAGAGAGAGGGGUCUCAAGUAGGGAGCUGUAGGAAUCUUGGCUGAAACAGAACCACUGCUGGGCUUUGAACAGAGGAGUGAUAGGAUCUGACUCGUGCUUUCAAAAGAUCACUCUGGCCGCCGUGCUAAGAGCAGAACUAAGAGGACAAUGGUGGAAGCCAGAGGCUCCAUUACCCAGGUACAGAAUGAUGGCUUGAACUAGAUAGUAGCAAUGAGUAAGAUAAAUAAGAUGCAGUCUCAGCCGGGCACAGUGGCGCUUGACUGUAAUCCCAGUUAUUAAGGAGGCUGAGGCAGGAGGAUAGGAUCACUUGAGCCCAGGAGUUCAAGUGCAGCCCGGGCAACACAGCAAGCCCCCAUCUCUAAAAAAUAAAUAACGUACAGUCUGUCUAUGGUCUCCCAACACUUAGGCAGAGGCGGAAGAUUGCGUGAGCACAAGAGUUCAAGACUAGCCUGGGCAACAUAAGGAGACUGUCUCUACAAAAAUAAAAAAAUUAGCCGGCAGGGUGGUGUGCAUCCUUGGUCCCAGCUAUGUGGGAGGCUGAGAUGGGAGGAUUGGGCCCAAGAGGUCAAGGCUGCAGUGAGUUGUGACUGCGCCACUGCACUCCAGCCUGGGUAACAGAGUGAGACCCUGUCUUUAAAAAAAAAAAAAGAGAGAGAAACUAGACUUAGCUCCAAGUCUGGAGCUUUUGGGGUUUUCUUCCUUUAUAAAAAUUUUUUAACUUUAUAGAAAUGGGAUCUCACUAUGUUGCUCAGACUUGUCUUGAACUCCUGUUUAGCACCACCUCUUACAAGUGUUGGGCAGCUCCGCUUCUCUCACUUGUCUGGAAUUCUAAGGCACUUCCCUGAAGUGCUCAUCCUGAGCUAAUAUGGGAUAGGGCUGGAGAGAGAACAGAGGUGGAUAGCUGCCAGAAUGAGGUGGGAAGGUGGGGAUCAGCAGCCUUUGGGAAGGAAAGAAGUAUGAGUCCCAGGGUAUUAAAAGGUGGAGGGGCAAUAAAAUUUAUUACAUAUGGGAUUCAUACUAAAUGAGUAGAUUUUAGCUUCUCUUGCCACAAUAAACAAAAAAAAUGGAUAACUGUGUGAGAUGAUGGCUCUGUUAAUUUGCUUCACUAUAGUGACUUUUUGACUAUCCCAUAACAUCAUGUUGUGUACCUUAAAUAUAUAGAUUUAAAAAAGUGGAGGAGUAUCUCUCCUCAAAAAAAAAAAAAAGAAAAAAAGAAAGAAAGAAAGAAUAAAGCAGGCCGGGCAUGGUGGCUAACGCCUGUAAUCCCAGCACUUUGGGAGGCCCAGGUGGGAGGAUCACUUGAGCUCAUGAGGUUGAGACCAACCUGGGCAACAAAGUGACACCCUGACUCUAAGAAAAAUAAAAAAUAAAUAAAAAGCUAGGAUGGCCAAAGCAGCAGGGGGAAUUCUGGAACAUUGUGAGGAGGAAAAGCUUAAAGCCUAGAUUGAGAAGGCAGACCUAGAUUCAAGUCUAAUAUUCCAUAGCUUACUUCCUUUGUGCCUACAUCAGUUAUUUAGUUUCUCUUAGCCUCUGUUUCCCUGCCUAUAAUAUGGGAACAAUAAUCAUAGCUAUGUAGCAAAAGAGACCAUGCACAGGCUGCCAAAAAUAAAGGUCCCCAAGACAGCUGUUAUUAUUUAUAAGGUCCCAGUGUCAGCACAGAAAAGAGUAUAGUAGUUGACUGUCUUGGGAGACGGGAGUGGACUAGAAGGGAGGGUGCAGAGCAGGAUAGCCUUCAAAGAGGAGAUAUUAUCCAGCUCAAGGGACAG